CGUUCCGAUGCCACAAGCCCACAACCCACCUCACCCUGCCGACCAUGUCAAACCAAGCAGAAGCUUCCAGAGCAAGGUGCCCGCGGCCCACGUAGCCCACGCCGCCGAACAGCACACAGCCGCAACUCGCACGAACCCCCGGGCAUGCCUGACCUUGUGCGGCGGCGACCAUGGCUGCCCCCUCGCCGGAGCGGAGCCCUCGUCGCCGGGGACCGACUCCCCGGUGCUCUGCGUGCGAAUCGUAUCCCUCGACUACCACAUGGCGCCGCCCCUCCCCGGCCGGAUUCGACUUCUCCUACAGCCACUUCCACGGUGAAGGAGGUGAUCAGGCUCCACUCCUUACUUGCCUCCACAUCCAUCUGGUGCGUAGCAGCUUCUCUGAUGAGUGCUUUUUUUUUUCUCUCUGUUGAUAUUACGGAUGAGCUAGUUUUGGUCGUCAUGUUUGGUUGCAGCUUCAAGCUUUCAACCGAGUGCGUCGCGUCCUUUCAAGUGUUUUGAGUGUGAGUUACGCUGUGAGGGUAUAAUACAUUUGUGUUUGCUGUUAGGUAGCCAUGCGCAGCAACUAAUCCUCCUCAUGUAUUACACGGUAUCUAUGCCCAACAAUUGAUGCCCAUGGAGGGAAUGUGGCAAUGUGCUCUUUGUUGAUACUGUACGCGCACCAAAUUCGAAGUUUGGAGAUCCAACUUCACUUUCGAAGUUCACUAAAUUUGAAGCCCUCUUAUCCUGCAUGGGCUUAACAUUAUUUUCUAUACACUUGGUGUUUGCUUGUAAUAUAUGCAAUAUUUACUUCUGUGUGCACUUGAUUUUUGUUUUUUUUUUGUUUUGGUUGAGUUUGGACAUGCAUAUGAUGAUUAGCUCUAUUAUAUUUUGAAUUCAUGUUUUUGAAUGAAUACAGAUAUACUUCAAUUUUUUUUAUAUCGCUUCUCUAUGGAAAGUUGCUCACACUAUUCCAUUCAUCAUUAGUUGUGCCAACUAGUUUGUAAACGUUUGCUGUUUUUUGUAUCUCCUUCAAUUUCUGUCUGUGCCUUGCACAGAGGACCUUCUUCAUAACAUUGAAAAAGGUAAUUCAUUAUUUGUAGUUAUGCAACCCUGAUGUAUCAUGUAUAUGCUAUUACUGUUACUUUUGCAAUUUGUUACAUGGAUUGUUCUAUUUUGAAUUGUACUGCUGAUUUUCUAUCUACAUUACCUGAAAACUUUUUGCUGAUGAUUUUCAUAUCUACAUCACCUGAAACUUGAAAUUGAUUGUUAUUUAUUCAUAUUCUAACUGAGCCUUACUGCUAUCUCACAAACUUUUUAGACACUAAUUCCUCUUGUAUAUGGCAGUUGCACACCGCUGUUGCAAUUUUAUUGACUUAAUUAAUUAAUUCGUGAUUUGAAAGGUCACUUCUUCAUCUGUCGAAAGCUUGCCUUGUAUGCAUCUGCAACACAUUUAGAUAACUUAAACAGUAGGCUGAACCCUUUGUAUGUGCAUGUGGCUCGGUAAGCAUCUCUUAGAUUUUGUACUGGUGAAAAGGGCACCUGUGUCUAGAAAUAAGUGGCCGUUACUUUUUCUUAACCAAAUAGCCUAAAUGUGUUAUUCUCUGCAAAUGGUAGAACUGAAUACUGAUGCUCCCUGAUUAACUGUUGCUUGUAAUGUCAAGAACAUCGCUUGAUGACAAGGAGAAAUUGAUAUGUCUCUUUCCUGCCCUUUCUCUAGGUAAUUCAUAUAUAAUUGGGGUCUAUCAAGUGACCUUGAGAAAGCUUUGCAGGUAUUUGUGAUGUCCAGUUAUGUAUCCAUAACUUUAUUGUUUUCUAAAAAGUAUUUUGGCUGCUAUGGAUGUUUGAACCAGUUCUAGAUUACCUGUUCUUUCCUUCACACCUAGUGUUUCCAUGAACAUAUUCCAUAUGAUUAAUUAUAAAUCAAAACCAAACAAAGUAUUUACUGAAAUCUUCACAAAAGAUAUACUGAGUUGUGGAACACAGUAACUGCAUCCUCGCUGUUUCCUUUGCUGUGCAAUUUCUGCCUAUCAGUGUUCAUCCUGAAAGAUUAUAUUAGGUUCUCCUUUAAUUAAUUAAUUUUGAUUUAUUUCUGUAUUUUUUUCCUUCAGAACUAAUUCUUGAUUUCUUAGCAUUAACUCCUAUUUUAUAUUUAUUGUCUAGCUUCUCCUUGUCAAUAUUGAAACUGUUGUACUCACUAUAUGUUUCUGUUUCAGUGUCCUAAUAGUUUAUCAGUAAAUAUACUGACCAUUUAUUACUGGCUCAAUGCUUGGUGUGAGUAUCUAAGUUCUGAUGUCUUAUGAUUGUUGCUUCCACCUAGAGUUUGCAACCAUGAUAUAUUAUUCCAAUUCUGGACUUCAAGGUAGUCUAUGUAAAAUGGUAAAAAUGCAAAACUUCCUUCAUUUGUUCUGUGUUGGAGUUAUCAUGAGAAAAAUCUACUGAUUUGUUUUGUAGCUAAUUGGCUAUACAUAAUUGCCUAUGCAUAUAUUCUUGACAAGCAUUAAAUAAGUCAGUGGGAAUUUUAUUGGUGUUCCGUGAUAUCCUUAAUAUUUGUUGAUAUUGAAUCCAACUAUUGAAUACCAUGUUGCUUGUUUAAACCACAAUUUCAUGAGAAAUCAUCUACUGCACAAGUGCACAUUCUGCUGCAGCCCAGCUAUUGGUCUGUUGACCCCUUCUGCUUAAUUUAUGACCUUGGUAUUUUCCAAAUUUCCAGUAGCUAAACAUGUCUGACAGGAGGAAUAUAGCUGUUAUACUUCUAGAUUUUUUUUUCUUUCACUAUUUUUUGGCAAUGGUACUUUGUUUUAUUAUCCCCUCUAUUUCUUCUUAAUUGUUACUAGUAUUGUUUAUAUUUCACUGUCUCGGAGUUACAAUUUGGACCUUCUCUGCUAUAGUUUAACAUCAAGGUAUAUCAAUAAAACUAUAAUAUUACAGCAGUAUGUUCAGCAAGGAAUCUAUUGAUAUAAUAUCUAUAUAGCCAAUCUAUCUAGUUGUUGACAUAUUAAUGGUCAAACUUUGCAGAAUUUUAUGGCUAGUUCUGACACUGGAAGGAGUAUUUAUUGAAAGAGAGAGUUGUAAUAGAUAUUUCAAUAUUAUUAUUUGCUUUUGUUCAUUGCGUAUGUUUCCUUUCAGCUUUACAUUAAUAAUGACUACACUUGUCUGCUGUAGGAAACUAGUAUUUUUACGUGAAAGAUUUGAUUUCAAACGCCUUCUGUUGCAUGCCAUUUCACUUGAAAAAUGUGCAUUGUGUCUCAGUGUUGCAUGUGUAUGUUGCUUUAUUUUCAUGAUGUGAAGCUGUGGAUUCAUUCUCCUAGCAACAUGAAACUUGGCCUCUAGACAGUUAUGCCAUCUAGGAUCGAGUCUGUUCUCUGUACAGACUAUCAUAUGUUAUAGUAAUUUGAAAUUGUUCAGUUUAUCUUGUGAUCUUCCUUGUAAAUACACUUUACUCUUCUCGAAUGGGAGUAUUUUAAACUAUUUCCUGUGGUUCCUGAUUUUGAGAUGCUUGGUUUCAGGAUGGUGCUGUUCUUAAUAGAGUAUUCCAACCUUAUGAGUCUCACAUUCCCUAUCUUCUUCACUUUUUGGUAAGAGCAACACUUAGUUUCUUUUCAUAGUUGUUGUGAACUGCAAGAACAGUAUUUCAUUUUGUCUCUUAUGCAGUCUUAACAUAAUAAAUACCACAGUCUAGCUUUUAUGAUAUAUAGUAUAUUGAUAUUUGAGCGGCUGGAGUGCCAGGAUAUUAAUGAUUGAAUUGAACCUGUGAAUGGAGAAGAACAACCAAAUGAUCAAAUAUCUUACCGCAGUUCUGUAAGGCUCGAUGAGAGUAGUUCGCUGAGCAAUAAUAUUCCUCAGCUUGAUGGGUCAUCUGAUGAAAACCAGGAAGUUCCACAAGAAGAUGGUAAGUAUAAAAUCAACAGGAAAAGUGCAGGAUUGCCUAGUUACUCAUCUCCUCAAAGUAGUUGAACUUCUCUGGUGCUCUUUGCCACCUCCCAUUAAAAAGAGGUCAGAUGUAAAUGUUGAUGGUCAUGUUAAAACCUCUCCAGACGGUGCGAUGCCAACUGAGAAGGAACCAAGUGUUUCUUUCAUGAGUAGAACUGGAAAGAACUCCCAUGCUACCACAGAUAAGACUGGCAGGGAAUCUUUUAGUCGAUCAGGUGAACAUGACCCAUUGUGUGAUUCUGUGAGGGUCUGAGAGACUUGAUGAUGAGGAGGAGGAUAUCUUUUCAGUCUGAACAAUCAGAAGUUGGCAAGUCUGGAGAUGCAAUAUACAUCAUUUGUAAAGAGAAUGAAAUUGUGAAUUCCGAGGGACUAGAAUGGCCUGAUUCAUCCAGUGGCCUUUCGAAUUCAUAAAUGUGUUUUUCUGGCAGUGAAUAUUAGCAGAUGACCUUUGCACAGAAGCCUCCAAUGAAGAAUGAAGUAUUAUGUUGUUUGGAGGGCUCUUCAGCAGAAAGCAGAGGAGAGCUGCAUCCUGAUCCACGAUUUCGUGUCAUCAACGCUGUAUCGCUGGCUGUUGAGGAUGAUGCUGACAACACUACUGAAAUCAUGUGCUUUAUACGUGGAAACAAUGACAGUUCACACAGGAGGAGAAACCUGGAUAGAGUUGCCGGUUGCGACAUAAACGUAUUUCCUUGAGAGACAGAAACUUUUAAACCAUCUUAUUAAUGAAAUAUGUUCAAUCGAUCCAGAUAUUAUAGUUGGAUGGGAGAUUCAGUUGGGAUCUUUAGGAUUUUUUGCUGAAGGAGCUGGUAUAGGCUUACUGAAAAGAAUUUCAAGGACACCACCAAAUCAGAUGAAACAUCCACCUAUGAACCCAGUGGAGGAAUCUUGUCAGGAGUUUCCUGGAGCAUCUUCAGCUGAUGAUGUUAUUGAUGAUGCUAGUGAGAGCAAUUGGAGUCAUACUCAUGCUAGUGGUAUACAUGUUGAUGGAAGAAUCAUUCUGAACUUAUGGCGUCUCAUGCGUGCAGAAAUUAAGCUUAAUAAUUACUCCCUUGAGGCUGUAGCUGAUGAAGUCUUGAGGAAGGUACCAUUAGUACCAACCAAGAUAUUGAAUCGAUGGUUUGCAACAGGUCCUGGACGAGGAAGAUACCGGUGCAUAGAAUAUGUUAACAAUUGAUCUUCUCUCAACCUUGAAAUAUUAAAUAUACUUGACCUGGUAAAUGGAAUCCCCCACAUUUAUCGUGCUGGUACAUCAUCAAGAUAUUGCUAUUUGAGAUUUCCUUUGUAUUUCUAGUUGAAAACUUUUAUCAAUUUUGCAUCUUCUCCUUAACAAUCUCCUAGCCACGAUUUAUCACACAGAAAUGCAGUUGGUUUUGUUGACA